rnacentral:rRNA from 1 species
AGAUUGAACGCUGGCGGCAUGCCUUACACAUGCAAGUCGAACGGCAGCACGGGGGCAACCCUGGUGGCGAGUGGCGAACGGGUGAGUAAUACAUCGGAACGUGUCCUGUAGUGGGGGAUAGCUCGGCGAAAGCCGGAUUAAUACCGCAUACGCUCUACGGAGGAAAGCGGGGGAUCUUCGGACCUCGCGCUAAAGGGGCGGCCGAUGGCAGAUUAGCUAGUUGGUGGGGUAAAGGCCUACCAAGGCGACGAUCUGUAGCUGGUCUGAGAGGACGACCAGCCACACUGGGACUGAGACACGGCCCAGACUCCUACGGGAGGCAGCAGUGGGGAAUUUUGGACAAUGGGGGCAACCCUGAUCCAGCAAUGCCGCGUGUGUGAAGAAGGCCUUCGGGUUGUAAGCACUUUUGUCAGGGAAGAAAGGAUUCUACUAAUACUGGAGUCUGAUGACGGUACCUGAAGAAUAAGCACCGGCUAACUACGUGCCAGCAGCCGCGGUAAUC